UACGGCCACAUCACAUUGAAACAGUGGCUCCUGUACAAUCACCAAUGUUAAGCAACACUGAACCUGAUCAGUACUUAGAUGGGUGACCCCUUGGAAAUACCAGGUGCUGUAA